UCUGGAGUGCUCACCUACACUAGGCUUGGGGACCAUGUUGGUGCCAUUUCCCCAGACUGGGUACUGACCUCUUCACAGUUCCCGUGGCGCCUGAAGGACUGGAGAGUUUAUGUUCCCAUGUCUCCUCUGGGUGUUGGCCAGAGCUGUGAUCACCAUGACGGGAAUCCUCCUUAUUUGCUCCUUAAGCAAAUAAUCCUUGUGUUUUUGAUUAUGCCCUUAAUCUUUGUCCUGAACUGCUGAUCUUCAGAGGGACCCAGGAGAAGAUGAGUCCACCGUUUCUACUGGGGAAAAAAAAACAAAACAACAACAACAAAAAAACACAUCAAACUGUGGGACACUGGAUGGGUGGAUGGGCUAGGCCUGAAAAGAGAUUGCCAAAUACAAGUCCCUUCCAGAUGAAAAGUGGAUCCUUUAGGAAAAGGAGCUGUCAUCUUCAAAGUCAUCUCAUGAUCCGAAAAUGGCUGUUGCAGCUCCAGCCAACAGAGACACCCUGAAAGCCAGAAGAAGGAAGAAAGGCAAAGAUUCAUUAUCUUGAAUUUUUCAAUCUUCCGCUUUUCUUUAUAAUUUUAUUACCUGUAAGUAUACUCCUAAAAACCUUAUUUGGCCCACAGAGUAGGAGAAAAUCUUUGCAAUGAAGCAACCGACAAGGGAUUAAUCUCCAAAAUAUACAACAUCUCGCACAGCUUUAUAUGAAAGAUCCAAUCAAAAACUUUUCAGAAGAUCUCAAUGGACAUUUCUCCAAAAAAGACAGAUAGAUGGCUAAAAAGCACAUGAAAAGAUGCUCAAAUCACUAAUUAUUUAGAGAACUGCAAAUCAAAACUACAGUGCACUCCACAGAAAGUCUACAAACAAACGCCAGAGAAGUUGUGAAGAAAAGGAAACACUCCUACAAUGUUGGUGGGAAUAUAAAUUGGUGCAGCUACUAUGGAAAACAAUAUGGACGUUCCUUUAAAAACUAAACAUGGAACUACCUAUGAUUCAGCAAUCCCACUCCUAGGCACAUAUCUGGAGAAAAUCAUAAAUUGAAAAGAUAUGUGCACCCCAGUAUUCAUUGCAGCACUAUUUACAAUAGCCAAGACAUGGAAGCAGUCUAAAUGUCCAUAAACAGAGGAAUGGAUAAAGAAGAUGUGGUACAUAUGGAAUAUAUAUGGAAUAAUGGAAUAUAACUCAGCCACAAAAAAGAAUGAAAUAAUGUCAUUUGCAGUAACAUGGAUGGACCCAAAAACUGUCAUACUAAGUGAAGUCAGAUAGAGAAAGACAGAUGUUAUAUGAGGUUACUAAUACAUGGAAACUAGUAAAAAUUGUAUAAAAGAACUCAUGCACAAAACAAAAACAUACUCAAAGAUUUCAAAACCAAACUUAUGAUUACCAAAUGGGGAAUGUUGGGGGGAAGGAUAAAUUGGGAGGUUGGAACUGACAUAUAAACACUACUGUAUAUGGAAUGGAUGCGUAACAAGGACCUACUGUAUCGCACAGGGAAAUCUACUCAAUACUCUGUAGUGACUUAUAUGGGAAAAGAAUCUGAAAAGGAAUGGAUAUAUGUAUACAUAUAACUGAUUCACUUUGUUCUAUAUCUGAAACUAAUGCAACAUUGUGAGUCAACUAUACUCCAAUAAAAUUUUUUACAAAAGUAA
rnacentral:lncRNA from 9 species